AUUAUUACAAUAAAAUGUUUAAAGAUGAUAUCCCAAUUAACGAGUCUCUAAUUUUAUGAGAUGUGUACCUUAGUCAAUAAGCUUCCUACCGAUUGUUAUUUUCAGCAAUGCCAAUAAGUUUACCCAUUAGUUACUUACCUUUCAUGUAGAUAUGCAAUGCAGUUCUUGUUGCAAGAAUUAUGAAUGUUUUGUUGAGGUUUGUUAAUGAAUUUGUUGCUUGAAAUUGGAACUCAUGUACACAGAGAAAGACUCUCCAGGAAACUUGACUCUCAAAUAUAAUUUUUAGUUCAUAAAUCUUGUAUGAUGCUGAGUAUUGCAUUACAGGAUUGGUAUAUUUACAAGUAGUUCGAAAUAUAUUUGUGUAGAUAUAUAGUUUAGUGACCUUAUACUAUGCACAAAAAGUCGGAAUGCUUUAGUUUAUAAGUUGGCCUUCUUUGUCUUCUGCAGGUUUUGGAUUUAAUCUCUGAUCUGUGAUGUGAUGCUCAAUUACAGGGAGAUGAUAGAAGCAGAUCAGGCAUGUGAUUUUGUUAAGGUUAGUGGUUUGUUUGGUUUUAAACUGCCAGUCAGUGGUUACAUGUAAAUGUUCAAAAAGCUACAUGUAAAUAUCAUCAUAGAAGAUAUUGCAAUAGUUGAAGGACUUCAACAUAAUCUCCUGAGUGUCUGUCAAUUUUGUGACAAGGGAUAUUAUGUUCAUUUUGAUUAGGAGAUAUGUAUCAUUAAACAUAUCAAGGAUAAGCGUCCUUCACUAUGUGGCAUAAGGAAGGGCAAUAUAUUCGUAGCUGAUUUAUCUUCAGGACCAGGAAACGAAGUUCGUUAUGCACAAAAAGUCGGAAUGCUUUAGUUUAUAAGUUGGCCUUCUUUGUCUUCUGCAGGUUUUGGAUUUAAUCUCUGAUCUGUGAUGUGAUGCUCAAUUACAGGGAGAUGAUAGAAGCAGAUCAGGCAUGUGAUUUUGUUAAGGUUAGUGGUUUGUUUGGUUUUAAACUGCCAGUCAGUGGUUACAUGUAAAUGUUCAAAAAGCUACAUGUAAAUGCUAGUCAGUUUGUGUGUCCAGUUGCUUUGCUGCCUAUAUUCUUUUAUUCUUUGUGUGUAGAGUUUUUCAACUAUUAUUAGUGAAUGACUAACACAACAUUCCAGGUUCUCUCACUAAUAAUACGAGAUAUAUGCCUUCAAAUCUUUGCAAGGGAAAUGAUCAUUUUAAGUUGGAAUGUCUUAAAGUGAUCUUCUUUAGCGAGGAAGCAAUCAGUGUUUUUAAAUUUGUUUUGGAAUAUAUAUAUGUUGUGUUACAUUUUGUAUUUUUAUAUUGGUCUGUUGGGAUAGGAGGUUGUUUCCGAAUUGAUAGUCUGUUAGAUGUUCACAUUUUUACAUGUUCUGGCUUAUGUUUUCUUUUGUAUCUUUUUAAAAGAUNAGGCAAAACCAUCAAUACCAUUAUCAAAGGCAAAACCAUCAAUACCAUUACAGAUCCACUUCAUAUGUUGCACAUGGAUUUGUUUGGCCCUGUGAAUGUUGCAUCCAUACAUUUUGUAUUUUUAUAUUGGUCUGUUGGGAUAGGAGGUUGUUUCCGAAUUGAUAGUCUGUUAGAUGUUCACAUUUUUACAUGUUCUGGCUUAUGUUUUCUUUUGUAUCUUUUUAAAAGAUCCUUUAAACAUGUGGAAUUCUGUUUAAAGGAUUUUCACUCAUAUAAUUUUUUUGAGGAUUAUCAUACUUCUUUACGUGUUUACGUUUUGUGUGCCCAAAACCCACUGUCUUUAACUAUCAAUUAGGUGUAGAAACUGAAGUAGUAUUUAUCUCACACUCUGAUCCCUUUUAAAUUUAUAUAUGCCCUGUGUGUUUGCAGGCAGGAGUCUUAGUUUGGUCCCUAUUGCAGACAUUAUUAAUUUUGCGAGCAAACUGCUAAAAGAUUUCCGAAGCUGGUAAACGUCGGGCUAGCAUCAGCAGUGUAGCUUCUCUUGACAUGUUAGGUGCAGCCUUAUUAAUUGUACAUCAUGUCAAUGACAAGUUAACUAACCAGCAGAAAUGUCCAAGGAACGUAUUUGGCAAGUGUACUCCCAAAACAUGGGGUGAUCAUGGAAUUUGUAAGAAGUCAAGUAGUCCUUACGUAUUGGGCAAUGAAAUAGAUUGUAUAGUAGCUGAUUUGUGCGUGGUAUAUGUGAUUGUAUGUUGUUACUAUAGUUGAUAAUGAAAACUUUUGUUACUAAU
rnacentral:lncRNA from 1 species